rnacentral:lncRNA from 1 species
ACGUGGGUGACUGGAGUUCCUGAUGAGGAAGUGAUAAAGAGCAAGCGAGCUAGGAGGGACCGCCAUGCAGCAGCAAGCUGCACAUGCACAACUGGAGUUCAAAGAAAGACAGAUGACAUCAAGGCAAGACCUAGAAGCUAGCCGGGCAAGCAGAGGAACAGCGCGCUGGUUAAAGGAGCAAGGCAAACCAAACAGAACAAGACUGGAGAGUGAAUACACAGCUCUCAGCUCAAAGGGGACCAGGAAAUUCUGAGUACAGAUGUUGACGGAAGUUGACCUUCGACCAAAACCUGUGCAUUCAGAAAGUACCGACCACAGCUUCCUCCCUGCGGAUGACUGUAGCCCGACACUGCUCCCUCACAGAGACCACCUAUGGAGAUAAGCUGAGCCAUCUCUUCAUCCGUGCUGUAUAUCAUAAACACAUUGAGC